rnacentral:lncRNA from 1 species
GCUUUUUUUACUGAAAUAUUAUAUUCACAUUAAAUCAAAAUACACAAGAGCAUACAUUGUAAUCAAACAGAAGAUCAACACACAAGAUCAAACCCAAAACCGACAAGUUAAAAAUAACCCUAGGAGUCCAAAAUCAGCGGAUGAUAAACAAUCCCCUGAGCCAAAACAUGACGAUUUUAAAACAAAAAAAAAAACAAAGGAAAAUAAAGCAUAUAGAAUGAAGACGAGGAAGAAAGCUCCUAAGAAACAUGAUUCCUAAACUCCAAACUACUAUUAAAACAGAUAACUCGAACCAUAAACUUCCCAUAGUGAAUAGUGCAGACUGAGUAGAACCAAGCUUCAGAUCCCAGAGCAACAUAACAUGUAGUUCCAUAACCGUUAAUUGGAACCAGCCAAAUUGAAUCUAGUGACAUAAAUUGACACAAAUGAAGCUGGGUAAAAGACAUGGAGCAAAUCACCUCCCACCUACCAAAAUCAAUCUUUAGAACCAAGAUGAAAUAAGAAUUGAGAUAGUGUAAAUUGCCAAGGAGUCAGCAUGGAAGAAACUGAACAUGCAGACUUAGAGAAGCAAACACCUCGAGACAAGAUAAAAUCCAACCGAUCAGAACAUGAACAUAUCACGAUCUACAGUUUCCGGCUGAAAAACCGACAUGCAACAAUAUUGAUUGAAACACUGAGAUAAAAUAAAAGCUACACCCGACUCAGGCUCUAUGUGAGCAGCCGGAGUCAGACAUCGGAAGAGAUGAUUGAAGUUUUUUUUGUGGAGAAAAAGGAAAGGACUUG